CCCAAAAAGAUUGCAGGGUACUUUUUGAAGACUUUGGAGAAUGUUAAAGGAUUUCCACAUAUUAUUCGAGGAGAUGCAGGAACAGAGAAUGGGACAGUAGCUGCCAUUCAAAACUUCUUGAGAGAAGAUGAUGAUGACUGCUUCAGCAAGAAAUCCUUCCUCUAUGGAAAAUCCACUCAUAAUCAAAGGAUAGAGAGAUGGUGGGGAAUUUUGAGAAGAAAAUGCACAGAUCAAUGGAUUCAUCAUUUUAAGGAAUUAGAAAAAGAUGGUCAUUUUACAAUUGGUGAUG